AGGGUCUUCAGAAAGGAAUACGGCCCCGCUGGCAUCUUCAUUUUGGACCAGUGAGACCAUUUCAGGUUUCUGACCUCCAGAAUGGAGGAGCAACUUAUGAAACAUGUCUGGAACACACUCAUCUAUGAAAUGGAAAUUCCCUGAAGUAUUACAAGAAGAAUAUCUCAUCAAGACAAAUAUUUGACUUCAGCCAGUUUUGACAGUUUUCAAACAAUUUUGUUUAGGUUCCUGCAAAUGUUCUACUGGAAUGUUACAUGAUAUUGUCUUCUCUGUCAUUUCUCCCAUCAUUCAACAUGAACACAUAACUCCAGAAACAAGAAAAUGCUUUCAGACCGACACCUAUGAAACUCCAAAGGAGCUUCCAGCACAAGCAGACCAAUGAUGAGGUGGUUUGAAGAGAAGACUCUUCUUGGCAUACCUGUAACUGCAGUCAAGAAAGUAGCCAUUCAUUCAUUCAGCCAUUUAGUCAUCUACCCAUUCACUUAGAACAAAUUUUUGAGGUACUUACUAUUUACCAAGCACUGUCUUGGCCCUGAAUAUACAAAAGUGAUCAAAGUAAUGAUUCUAGGAACUAAUAUACUUAUUGACCUAGUUGAGGAAACUAUGACUCAUGGAGUUCUGAGGGAAUAUAAUGGUAAAGUUGAAAUAAUUGGGUGGGAAAUUGAACAAAUGUAUUAACCUCUACUUUUCACCAAAUCCCAUAAAAAUGUUAGCAAAAUGAGUCAACAUCAAAAAAGGACAAUGAAAAGAAGAACUAAGACUACAGCAAUAGAAAUUUAGAAACUAGAAAGAAAGACAAAGUUCACUCACCUAAAAGAACAAAGAGGUUUCCAGUUUUAGCAAUAACAUGUAAAGAGCUUGGAAAUAACUGCUCUUACAGUUUUUAAAAAGAAUAUUGAUGACUUUUCUUGAACCCAUCAGAAAAUGCAGGUUUCAGGGAAAAUACUAUACUGGCUUUGUUGCUAUUGUUUAGUUUCUCAGUCAUGUGUGCCUCUUUGCAACCCUGUGGACUAUACCUGCCAGGUUCCUCUGUCCAUGGGAUUUCACAAGCAAGAAUACUGGAGUGGGUUGUUCUUUCCUUAGACAGAUGAAUUUGGGGAUUUGCAGUUGGAGUCUGCUAACUAGAUCAGAAGCAGAGGUAGCUAUAAAUUAACUGUUGUUGUUUGUUGU